UAAGGAAUAUUGGGCAAUGGACGCAAGUCUGACCCAGCCAUGCCGCGUGAAGGAUGACAGCCCUACGGGUUGUAAACUUCUUUUGUACGGGAAAAAAACCCUGAUCGUGUAUCAGGGCUGAUGGUACCGUAAGAAUAAGCAUCGGCUAACUCCGUGCCAGCAGCCGCGGUAAUACGGAGGAUGCAAGCGUUAUCCGGAUUCAUUGGGUUUAAAGGGUGCGUAGGCGGGGCGAUAAGUCAGCGGUGAAAUCCUACAGCUUAACUGUAGAAUUGCCAUUGAUACUGUCGACCUUGAGUACAUUUGAAGUGGGCGGAAUGUGUCAUGUAGCGGUGAAAUGCUUAGAUAUGACACAGAACACCGAUAGCGAAGGCAGCUCACUAAACUGUAACUGACGCUGAGGCACGAAAGCGUGGGGAUCAAACAGG
rnacentral:rRNA from 1 species